rnacentral:rRNA from 1 species
UGGGGAAUAUUGCACAAUGGGGGAAACCCUGAUGCAGCGACGCCGCGUGAGCGAAGAAGGUUUUCGAAUCGUAAAGCUCUGUCCUAUGAGAAGAUAAUGACGGUAUCAUAGGAGGAAGCCCCGGCUAAAUACGUGCCAGCAGCCGCGGUAAUACGUAUGGGGCGAGCGUUGUCCGGAAUUAUUGGGCGUAAAGGGUACGUAGGCGGUCUAUUAAGUCAGGUGUGAAAGCGUGAGGCUUAACCUCAUUAAGCACUUGAAACUGAUAGACUUGAGUGAAGGGGAGGAAAGUGGAAUUCCUAGUGUGGCGGUGAAAUGCGUAGAUAUUAGGAGGAAUACCGGUGGCGAAGGCGACUUUCUGGACUUUUACUGACGCUCAGGUACGAAAGCGUGGGGAGCAAACAGG